rnacentral:sRNA from 1 species
CCCACACCUAGGCGCCGGAGCCGAAAGCCCGUUCCCUGCGGGUUGGUGUGGGCAUUCAAUACAGGG